UGGGGAAUUUUGGACAAUGGGGGAAACCCUGAUCCAGCCAUCCCGCGUGUGCGAUGAAGGCCUUCGGGUUGUAAAGCACUUUUGGCAGGAAAGAAACGUCAUGGGUUAAUACCCCGUGAAACUGACGGUACCUGCAGAAUAAGCACCGGCUAACUACGUGCCAGCAGCCGCGGUAAUACGUAGGGUGCAAGCGUUAAUCGGAAUUACUGGGCGUAAAGCGUGCGCAGGCGGUUCGGAAAGAAAGAUGUGAAAUCCCAGAGCUCAACUUUGGAACUGCAUUUUUAACUACCGAGCUAGAGUGUGUCAGAGGGAGGUGGAAUUCCGCGUGUAGCAGUGAAAUGCGUAGAUAUGCGGAGGAACACCGAUGGCGAAGGCAGCCUCCUGGGAUAACACUUACGCUCAUGCACGAAAGCGUGGGGAGCAAACAGG
rnacentral:rRNA from 1 species